GAGAAAGUCGUGGUAUGAAAAAGUGUCAGAACAAGCUCUAUGUUUGAUUUUUUUGUUUUUUUUUAAUUCUAAUAAGUUUUAAGAAUUGAUCCAAAGCGAUCCAAGAGGGACUGGAUAUGUAAAAAACCAGGUGAUGACUCCUUUAAUAACAAUUCAAUAUUGAAACAUGUUCAGGUUUAUCAGUCACAUUUUACUGCACAAGUUCUGCUGAUCAUUUAAAUUCACUUUGAUAAUAACACAUGUUGAACCUGUAACAGAGUGUUUUCACAGUAUUAGUACCUUUACUUGAAUAAAAGAUGUGAAUACUUCCUCUGUUAUUAUUAUUUGACACAAAUCGUGUCAUCAAACUCAGUAACAGUUACACACAAAUAUGAAUCUGGAUCUGACUGAAUUCUGCUUUAUUGUUCAUUAGGACAGAAACCCUCAGUGAUGUCUCAGUUCUGGUCCUGGUUCACAGGUGAGUGUCAUGUUCCUACCAGGUUCUUUCAGUGUUUCUGAAUAAAUGUUCACAGUUAGUUUAUCUCUGUGUGAUGGUGUAAAUAUGUUUGGAGUUGUGUUUAUUUAUAUUGGUCUAACUGCAUUUUAACUUAUUAAUUAUUACUGUUUUAAUUGGUGUUUUAAUUGGUGAAAAUGUCUCUGUUGUGGAACUAAUGAAGGAUUUUAUCUUUCAGUGAAGAGCUCUACAUCACAAACAGUGAAGGUCCACUCAGUCACUACUGGUCGGACCUGUGGUGCUGAUGAUGAAAUACUGGAAAAAGUGAAGAAUAUGAGAGGGUCAACAACACGGGUGAAGAUCACAGACUGUCAGCAGUGUUACAUCAUCAUCGUCUUCUGUCCAAUCACAUCUCGUGUUGGAUCAGAUGUGCCGGCAGCCAUGAGAGAGAUUCCAGGUGAUAAACGUGUCAUUUUAGUGCUGAUGCAUCACACCAGACGUGUCCACUUUUCCCCUGUUGUCAAAAAGUGGAGUGGAACCUAUCAGAACGUUGUGUUGGAUGUUCAUGUUCUCUUCCAUGAGACUCAGCCGGGAUUACUGAAGUGUCCAAGAAAUGAUGAGGCAGUUCAACACAUACAUAAAGUGUUAAAAGCUCACAGUAGAAGUAGCUGGUUUUGAUGAGUAGUUCUGGUUUUGUGUGGAGCAACAAACAACAGAACAGCUGUUAUUGAUUAUUAUAGCCAGAUAAAUGUCUGUGACGUCUGUGAUGAAGCACCAGCUCUCUCACUAGUUGCUAACCAUUUAUUCAGAAAGGUGGAAAGACACUCAAACACAGUUUUCUAUUUUCUUUAUUUAAAUUAUGUUUCCACUAACAUUUGUUAAAUACAAGGAAUUGUACUCUAAGUUGAUUACUCAGAAUGUAUAUAUAAGUCUUGUGGCAAUCUGUCGGAGUUGGAGUCUUGUGUGGCGGCCAUCUUGUGCUGGUGUGGAAAUAGGAAGCCGCCUCAGCAGUAGCCUUUUUAUGUGGAGUAUGAGAAGGUGUGUUCUCAGUUGUGAUUGGAUAAUGGAUGUGUGAUGUCAUGAUGGGUAAUUAAGAUAAAUACUGAAUAAAGUACAAAUCAUUUGUUUGCUGUGAAUGUGCAGAAGGUAUCUUAGUCUAAUGAUGAAUGAAUUUACAACUUGUUGGUGUGAGCAAGUGAAAGAAAACCAUGUCUAUGCAUUGUAAACCUUUUCAAUUCAUCAUUAUAGAGAUCCGCCCUGAUAGGCCAGUUGAACUGCAAAGGUGGACUCUCCCGCUAUAUAUGUGAGUGGAAUGGGAGAGGACGGGGAGUUUAGUUUUUUUUCUUGGGAAGAGAGCGAUCUGAGCGGUCUGAAGCUCACUAAGAAAUGUUUGUUUGUUUGUUUUUGAGACUAAAAUAAAAGUCUUCCUAUUUUUUUCCUGCACAACCCUUGCCAGUGUGAUGUUUUAUCUUCCACCAUGCUUUG
rnacentral:lncRNA from 1 species